UAAUAAGUGUUUUAUGGCACUUUUUAAAUCCAUAUCCACCUUGUGUGCAAUGUCGGUCGAUCUUCUUUUUUUGAGGAUCGACCAAACAUCAACCUUUAUUUUUUAACCCUUUGUCUGAAAAAUAUUAUGAAUAACAAUUCAAAAUA
rnacentral:misc_RNA from 1 species